rnacentral:rRNA from 1 species
AUUGAACGCUGGCGGCAGGCUUAACACAUGCAAGUCGAGCGAGCGGCGGACGGGUGAGUAUUGUCUGGGAACCUGCCUGAUGGAGGGGGAUAACUACUGGAAACGGUAGCUAAUACUGCAUCCCAUCAGCUGUGCCAAGAUGGGAUUAGCUAGUAGGUGGGGUAAUGGCUCACCUAGGCGACGAUCCCUAGCUGGUCUGAGAGGAUGACCAGCCACACUGGAACUGAGCCACGGGCCCGACUCCUACGGGAGGCAGCAGUGGGGAAUAUUGCACAAUGGGCGAAAGCCUGAUGCAGCCAGGCCGCGUGUGUGAAGAAGGCCUUCGGGUUGUAAAGCACUUUCAGCGAGGAGGCGUUACUCGCAGAGGAAGCACCGGCUAACUCCGUGCCAGCAGCCGCGGUAAUAC